rnacentral:rRNA from 1 species
UACGAAGGGGGCUAGCGUUGCUCGGAAUUACUGGGCGUAAAGCGCACGUAGGCGGAUUGUUAAGUCGGGGGUGAAAUCCUGGAGCUCAACUCCAGAACUGCCUUCGAUACUGGCGAUCUCGAGUUCGGGAGAGGUGAGUGGAAUUCCCAGUGUAGCGGUGAAAUGCGUAGAUAUUGGGAGGAACACCAGUGGCGAAGGCGGCUCACUGGACCGGUACUGACGCUGAGGCGCGAAAGCGUGGGGAGCAAACAGG